rnacentral:rRNA from 1 species
ACGCUGGCGGCGUGCCUAAUACAUGCAAGUAGAACGCUGAAGAGAGGAGCUUGCUCUUCUUGGAUGAGUUGCGAACGGGUGAGUAACGCGUAGGUAAGCUGCCUGGUAGCGGGGGAUAACUAUUGGAAACGAUAGCUAAUACCGCAUGAAAUUGCUUAUCGCAUGAUAAUUAAUUGAAAGAUGCAAUUGCAUCACUACCAGAUGGACCUGCGUUGUAUUAGCUAGUUGGUGAGGUAACGGCUCACCAAGGCGACGAUACAUAGCCGACCUGAGAGGGUGAUCGGCCACACUGGGACUGAGACACGGCCCAGACUCCUACGGGAGGCAGCAGUAGGGAAUCUUCGGCAAUGGGGGGAACCCUGACCGAGCAACGCCGCGUGAGUGAAGAAGGUUUUUGGAUCGUAAAGCUCUGUUGUAAGAGAAGAACGGGUGUGAGAGUGGAAAGUUCACACUGUGACGGUAUCUUACCAGAAAGGGACGGCUAACUACGUGCCAGCAGCCGCGGUAAUACGUAGGUCCCGAGCGUUGUCCGGAUUUAUUGGGCGUAAAGCGAGCGCAGGCGGUUAGAUAAGUCUGAAGUUAAAGGCUGUGGCUUAACCAUAGUAUGCUUUGGAAACUGUUUAACUUGAGUGCAGAAGGGGAGAGUGGAAUUCCAUGUGUAGCGGUGAAAUGCGUAGAUAUAUGGAGGAACACCGGUGGCGAAAGCGGCUCUCUGGUCUGUAACUGACGCUGAGGCUCGAAAGCGUGGGGAGCAAACAGGAUUAGAUACCCUGGUAGUCCACGCCGUAAACGAUGAGUGCUAGGUGUUAGCCCUUUCCGGGGCUUAGUGCCGCAGCUAACGCAUUAAGCACUCCGCCUGGGGAGUACGACCGCAAGGUUGAAACUCAAAGGAAUUGACGGGGGCCCGCACAAGCGGUGG